GCUAUUGGAGUUCGAUUAAGCCAUGCGAGUCGAGAGUCUUAGGGACUCGGCGUACCGCUCAGUAACACGUGGGUAACCUGCCCUAUGCUGGGGAAUAACCUCGGGAAACUGAGAAUAAUGCCCCAUAGUCCUCAAUGCCUGGAACGGUUUGUGGAUCAAAGCUCCGGCGGCAUAGGAUGGGCCUGCGGCGUAUCAGGUUGUAGGGGGUGUAACGUACCCUCUAGCCAUCAACGCGUACGGGUGUUGGGAGACAUAGCCCGGAGAUGGAUUCUGAGACACGAAUCCAGACCCUACGGGGUGCAGCAGGCGCGAAAACUUGGCAAUGCGAGAAAUCGUGACCAGGGAACUCCAAGUGGCUGGGGUAAGACCCAGUCUUUUCUUGACUCUUCAAAGGUCUUGGAGUAAGGGGUGGGUAAGGACGGUGCCAGCCGCCGCGGUAAUACCGGCGCCUCAAGUGGUAGUCGAUUUUAUUGGGCCUAAAACGUCCGUAGCCUGUUUGGUACAUUCGUGGGUAAAUCAACCAGCUCAACUGGUUGAAUUCUGCGAGCACGGCCAGACUUGGGACCGGGAGAGGUGUGGGGUACGCUCAGGGUAGGGGUAAAAUCCUGUCAUCCUGAGCGGACCACCUGUUGCGAAGGCGCCACACUAGAACGGAUCCGACGGUCAGGGACGAAGCCUAGGGGCACGAACCGGAUUAGAUACCCGGGUAGUCCUAGGUGUAAACGCUGUGGACUUGGUGUUGGGGACUCUCCGAGAUUCCUCAGUGCCGAAGCGAAGGUGAUAAGUCCACUGCCUGGGGAGUACGGUCGCAAGGCUGAAACUUAAAGGAAUUGGCGGGGGAGCACCGC
rnacentral:rRNA from 1 species